rnacentral:rRNA from 1 species
GUGCCAGCCGCCGCGGUAAUACGUAGGGUGCAAGCGUUAAUCGGAAUUACUGGGCGUAAAGCGUACGCAGGCGGCUAAGUAAGACGGAUGUGAAAUCCCCGGGCCUAACCUGGGAACUGCAUUCGUGACUGCUCAGCUAGAGUCUGUCAGAGGGGGGUGGAAUUCCACGUGUAGCAGUGAAAUGCGUAGAGAUGUGGAGGAACACCGAUGGCGAAGGCAGCCCCCUGGGAUAAGACUGACGCUCAUGUACGAAAGCGUGGGGAGCAAACAGGAUUAGAUACCCUGGUAGUCCACGCCCUAAACGAUGUCGACUAGUUGUCGGGGAUUUACAUCUUCGGUAACGCAGCUAACGCGUGAAGUCGACCGCCUGGGGAGUACGGUCGCAAGAUUAAA